rnacentral:rRNA from 1 species
GAUGAACGCUGGCGGCGUGCCUAAUACAUGCAAGUCGAGCGAACAGACGAGGAGCUUGCUCCUCUGACGUUAGCGGCGGACGGGUGAGUAACACGUGGAUAACCUACCUAUAAGACUGGGAUAACUUCGGGAAACCGGAGCUAAUACCGGAUAACAUGUUGAACCGCAUGGUUUAACAGUGAAAGACGGUCUUGCUGUCACUUAUAGAUGGAUCCGCGCCGCAUUAGCUAGUUGGUAAGGUAACGGCUUACCAAGGCAACGAUGCGUAGCCGACCUGAGAGGGUGAUCGGCCACACUGGAACUGAGACACGGUCCAGACUCCUACGGGAGGCAGCAGUAGGGAAUCUUCCGCAAUGGGCGAAAGCCUGACGGAGCAACGCUGCGCGAGUGAAGAAGGUCUUCGGAUCGUAAAACUCUGUUAUUAGGGAAGAACAAAUGUGUAAGUAACUAUGCACGUCUUGACGGUACCUAAUCAGAAAGCCACGGCUAACUACGUG